rnacentral:tRNA from 1 species
GGGGCUGUAGUUCAGCUGGGAGAACGCCACACUGGCAGUGUGGAAGUCAGGGGUUCGAGUCCCCUCAGCUCCACCA